rnacentral:rRNA from 1 species
AGAGUUUGAUCCUGGCUCAGAACGAACGCUGGCGGCGUGGAUUAGGCAUGCAAGUCGAACGAGAAAAGUUUCUUCGGAAACUGAGUAAAGUGGCAAACGGGUGAGUAACGCGUGGGAAACCUGCCUUUCAGUUGGGGACAACACUUCUAACGAGGUGCUAAUACCGAAUACGAUCUUUCCAUUGCAUGAUGGAUUGAUUAAAGGCGGCCUCUGUUUACAAGCUGUCGCUGAAAGAUGGUCCCGCGUCCCAUUAGCUUGUUGGUGAGAUAACAGCCCACCAAGGCGACGAUGGGUAGCCGGCCUUAGCGGGUGAUCGGCCACACUGGGACUGAGAUACGGCCCAGACUCCUACGGGAGGCAGCAGUCGAGAGGCAUCCACAAUGGGGGAAACCCUGAUGGUGCGACGCCGCGUGGGUGAUGAAGGUUUUCGGAUCGUAAAACCCUUUCAGCGAGGAAGAAGUUGUUGGGUGUUAAUAUCACCUGGCAAAAGACGGUACUUGCAGAAGAAGCCCCGGCUAACUCCGUGCCAGCAGCCGCGGUAAGACGGGGGGGGCAAGCGUUGUUCGGAUUUACUGGGCGUAAAGGGCGUCUAGGCGGAUUAUCAAGUCAGGUGUGAAAUCCCACGGCUCAACCGUGGAACUGCACUUGAAACUGGUGGUCUUGAGUACGGAAGAGGAAAGCGGAAUUCCUGGUGUAGCGGUGAAAUGCGUAGAUAUCAGGAAGAACACCGGUGGCGAAGGCGACUUUCUGGUCCGAUACUGACGCUAAAGCGCGAAAGUGUGGGGAGCAAACAGGAUUAGAUACCCUGGUAGUCCACACUGUAAACGAUGGAUACUAGGUGUCGGGGACCCGACCUCUCCGGUGCCGAAGCUAACGCAUUAAGUAUCCCGCCUGGGGAGUACGAUCGCAAGGUUGAAACUCAAAGGAAUUGACGGGGACCCGCACAAGCGGUGGAGCAUGUUGCUUAAUUCGACGCAACGCGAAGAACCUUACCGGGGUUUAACAUAUACUGGAAGGGUACAGAGAUGUGUCCCGCUCUUCGGAGCUGGUAUAAUAGGUGCUGCACGGCUGUCGUCAGCUCGUGUCGUGAGAUGUUGGGUUAAGUCCUCUAACGAGCGCAACCCCUAUUCACAGUUGCCAUCAGGUUAUGCUGGGCACUCUGCGAAGACUGCCGGUGACAAACCGGAGGAAGGUGGGGAUGACGUCAAGUCAUCGUGGCCCUUACGUCCCGGGCUGCAAACGUGCUACAAUGGCUGGUACAAAGGGAAGCAAUAUCGCGAGGUGGAGCAAAUCCCAAAAAGCCAGUCUCAGUUCGGAUUGUAGUCUGCAACUCGACUACAUGAAGUUGGAAUCGCUAGUAAUCGCGGAUCAGCAUGCCGCGGUGAAUACGUUCCCGGGUCUUGUACACACCGCCCGUCAAGUGAUGAAAGCUGGGGGUACUCGAAGUCGUUUGCCUAACCGUAAGGAGGGCGGCGCCGAAAGUAAAACUGGUGAUUGGCACUAAGUCGUAACAAGGUAGCCGUACCGGAAGGUGCGGCUG